rnacentral:lncRNA from 1 species
AAAAGGCACAGAGAAAGUGUCAGUGUUUGCUAAUGCCACUUCAGGAAAAAACACUAAGUAGCUUUUUAUUUCUUUGCAAUUUCCAGCUGAAAGUAUCUAAUGAUAUAUUGUAUCAGAAAGUCCAGGACCAGAGAGGAAGCGUCCCUGAUACAUUGUAUCAGGAAGUCCAGGGACCAGAGGCUGAGAUUUCCCGGCUACAAAUUAAGCCUGUUUCCAAAUCUGCACCAUCUUAAUUUUCAUUUUCUUCUUUCACAAUCUUUCUACAGUGUCUGAAGCUCUUGCUCUUCUUCUUGUGCCUAGAAAAGGACAUUGAUUUACAACUUCCACCAUUUUCGUGGUUCAUCUAUAAUCUUCCCUAAAUUUAAAAUCUGCAGUGCUCUAGAGUUUCUGAGUGUUCUGUUUGCCAGGUAAUGAUGUCAAUGCUAGCCUUCUUAGGUUUAGCUCCUUCACAGUACUACCCGAUAGCUGUAGUUUUGUUGCACUGCAAGGAAGCUAAGAAAGGCUAAGGAAAUUGCCCAGAGUCACAGGGCUUUGUGCAUAGUCACUGCUCUGCACUCUCUGUGCCUAAGCUUGCCUGUUUGGAAAUCUCUUUCCUAAAUGCUGGUCAUCAGAUACACUUCCAGAGCAUUCCUCUGGUAAGGACCAUCAUUGAAAUCCUAGAACCAGAAGGGAAUGAUUCUGUAGUGGGGCACAGAGGCAAGUGAUUCCAAUUCCAUCCGGAGCGGAGGAAAAAGGGGAGUUGGAGCCAAAAUGUAGACAAUGCCUCACCCAGUGAUGCUCCUCCUAGUAAUGCCCCGCCCAGCAAUGCCCCGCCCAGCAAUGCCCUGCCCAGUAUACUGUCUUCCCAGUACUUCACCUUUACUCUGUUUUGACUUCUUUGUAUUUGGGGGAGCAUCGUUGAUAUUCAAUUCCUCUUUCAUGUUGUAUACUUUGAAUUUCACUUCUCUAACAAGAUUUACCUGUGUACCAUGUACAAGUACGCCUUAUUGGCAUCCCUCCUUGCGGGUGGAUCACAUUGUGCUGCUGGAG